GCGCUAACUUCAGGAGUAUGUGUGAAAAUCAGGAGAUCGCUCAUUCUGUAAGUCAGGAGAAGAGGACCCUCAAGAAGUCUCUGAGGAUCACGAAUUCUUCAAUUCAAGGCACCUCCUACAAAGAAGUUUGCAGAAGUCUUGCAUCAACUCCACUGGAGGAAGGAGUGACUAGCUGAAACUUCUUCAGCUCAUAAAUGCCUCAAAGAACAAGCAGCAGUGUGCUAAGAAAAGCUUCUCUCAUAUUUUGCUUUGUGAUACAUACAAAGAUGCUCCUACACACAGCUGCUUUGUCACAUAAAGAACAAAAAGAGUGCUACAAUAUUUUCAGAAGAGAUUGCUGAUCUUGCAACCAAACCUCCAGUACAAGAUGACAUUGAAACAAUAAAUAGUGACAUUUCAG